AACGAACGCUGGCGGCAUGCCUAACACAUGCAAGUCGAACGAGACCUUCGGGUCUAGUGGCGCACGGGUGCGUAACGCGUGGGAAUCUGCCCUUGGGUUCGGGAUAACAGUUGGAAACGACUGCUAAUACCGGAUGACGUCUUCGGACCAAAGAUUUAUCGCCCAGGGAUGAGCCCGCGUCGGAUUAGCUAGUUGGUAGGGUAAAAGCCUACCAAGGCGACGAUCCGUAGCUGGUCUGAGAGGAUGAUCAGCCACACUGGGACUGAGACACGGCCCAGACGCCUACGGGAGGCAGCAGUGGGGAAUAUUGGACAAUGGGCGAAAGCCUGAUCCAGCGAUGCCGCGUGAGUGAUGAAGGCCUUAGGGUUGUAAAGGUCUUUUACCCGGGGUGAUAAUGACAGUACCGGGAGAAUAAGCCCCGGCUAACUCCGUGCCAGCCGCCGCCGGAA
rnacentral:rRNA from 1 species